rnacentral:rRNA from 1 species
AACGAACGCUGGCGGCAUGCCUAACACAUGCAAGUCGAACGAGACCUUCGGGUCUUGUGGCGCACGGGUGCGUAACGCGUGGGAACCUGCCCUUAGGUUCGGAAUAACUCCCCGAAAGGGGUGCUAAUACCGGAUAAUGUCUUCGGACCAAAGAUUUAUCGCCUUUGGAUGGGCCCGCGUUGGAUUAGCUAGUUGGUAGGGUAAAAGCCUACCAAGGCGACGAUCCAUAGCUGGUCUGAGAGGAUGAUCAGCCACACUGGGACUGAGACACGGCCCAGACUCCUACGGGAGGCAGCAGUGGGGAAUAUUGGAAAAUGGGCGAAAGCCUGAUCCAGCAAUGCCGCGUGAGUGAUGAAGGCCUUAGGGUUGUAAAGCUCUUUUAACCGGGAUGAUAAUGACAGUACCGGGAGAAUAAGCUCCGGCUAACUCCGUG